rnacentral:snRNA from 1 species
GUGCUCACUUUGGCAGCACAUAUACGAAAAUUGGAACAAUACAGAGAAGAGUAGCAUGGCCCCUGCACAAGGAUGAUGCACAAAUCCAUGAAGCAUAUAUUUU